UUUCGCAAUGCCCGAAAGGGUGACGAAGCGACGCCGCGUGCGGGAAGAAGGCCUUCGGGUUGUAAACCGCUGUCGGGAGUUAAGAAAUGCAAGGGUGUUAACAGCAUCCUUGCUUGACUAAGGCUCCAGAGGAAGCCACGGCUAACUCUGUGCCAGCAGCCGCGGUAAUACAGAGGUGGCAAGCGUUGUUCGGAAUUAUUGGGCGUAAAGAGCACGUAGGCGGUUCUGCAAGUCGGCUGUGAAAGCCUUCCGCUCGACGGAAGAACAGCAGUUGAUACUACAGGACUAGAGUGCGGGAGGGGAGAGUGGAACUUCUGGUGGAGCGGUGAAAUGCGUAGAUAUCAGAAGGAACGCCGGCGGCGAAAGCGACUCUCUGGCCCGUAACUGACGCUGAGUGUGCGAAAGCUAGGGGAGCAAACGGGAUUAGAUACCCCGGUAGUCCUAGCCGUAAACGAUGGGCACUAAGUAGAGGGGUUUU
rnacentral:rRNA from 1 species